rnacentral:rRNA from 1 species
GACGAACGCUGGCGGCGUGCUUAACACAUGCAAGUCGAACGAUGAACACCGGAGCUUGCUCUGGUGGGAUUAGUGGCGAACGAGGUGAGUAACACGUGAGCAAUCUGCCCUUGACUCUGGGAUAAGCGUUGGAAACGACGUCUAAUACCGGAUACGACCUCUCUUGGCAUCAAGCGGAGGUGGAAAGAUUUAUCGGUCAAGGAUGAGCUCGCGGCCUAUCAGCUAGUUGGUGAGGUAAUGGCUCACCAAGGCGAUGACGGGUAGCCGGCCUGAGAGGGUGACCGGCCACACUGGGACUGAGACACGGCCCAGACUCCUACGGGAGGCAGCAGUGGGGAAUAUUGCACAAUGGGCGCAAGCCUGAUGCAGCAACGCCGCGUGAGGGACGAAGGCCUUCGGGUUGUAAACCUCUUUUAGCAGGGAAGAAGCGCAAGUGACGGUACCUGCAGAAAAAGCACCGGCUAACUACGUGCCAGCAGCCGCGGUAAUACGUAGGGUGCAAGCGUUGUCCGGAAUUAUUGGGCGUAAAGAGCUCGUAGGCGGUUUGUCG